UACGUAGGGGGCAAGCGUUGUCCGGAUUUAUUGGGCGUAAAGAGCGUGUAGGCGGCUUGGUAAGGUCCAGCUUGUGAAAACUCGAGGCUCAACCUCGAGACGCCGGCGGAAACCAUCAGGCUAGAGUCCGGAAGAGGAGAGUGGAAUUCCUGGUGUAGCGGUGAAAUGACGCAGAUAUCAGGAAGAACACCCGUGGCUAAGGCGGCUCUCUAGUACGGUACUGACGCUGAGACGCGAAAGCGUGGGGAGCGAACAGG
rnacentral:rRNA from 1 species